rnacentral:rRNA from 1 species
GGCGAACGGGUGAGUAAUGUAUCGGAACGUACCAUUGAGUGGGGGAUAACGUAGCGAAAGUUACGCUAAUACCGCAUAUACCCUGAGGGGGAAAGCAGGGGAUCGCAAGACCUUGUGCUCUUUGGGCGGCCGAUAUCAGAUUAGCUAGUUGGUGAGGUAAAGGCUCACCAAGGCGACGAUCUGUAGCGGGUCUGAGAGGAUGAUCCGCCACACUGGAACUGAGACACGGUCCAGACUCCUACGGGAGGCAGCAGUGGGGAAUUUUGGACAAUGGGGGCAACCCUGAUCCAGCCAUGCCGCGUGAGUGAAGAAGGCCUUCGGGUUGUAAAGCUCUUUCGGCCGGGAGGAAAUCGCAUCAGUUAAUACCUGGUGUGGAUGACAGUACCGGAAUAAGAAGCACCGGCUAACUACGUGCCAGCAGCCGCGGUAAUACGUAGGGUGCGAGCGUUAAUCGGAAUUACUGGGCGUAAAGCGUGCGCAGGCGGUUUUUUAAGACAGGCGUGAAAUCCCCGGGCUCAACCUGGGAACUGCGCUUGUGACUGGAAGGCUAGAGUAUGGCAGAGGGGGGUGGAAUUCCACGUGUAGCAGUGAAAUGCGUAGAGAUGUGGAGGAACACCGAUGGCGAAGGCAGCCCCCUGGGCCAAUACUGACGCUCAUGCACGAAAGCGUGGGGAGCAAACAGGAUUAGAUACCCUGGUAGUCCACGCCCUAAACGAUGUCAACUAGGUGUUGGGGUGGGUAAAACCAUUUAGUACCGGAGCUAACGCGUGAAGUUGACCGCCUGGGGAGUACGGCCGCAAGGUUAAAACUCAAAGGAAUUGACGGGGACCCGCACAGCGGUGGGUUGAAAGGGGGAUUAAUUCGAUGCAACGCGAAAACCUUACCUACCCUUGGCAUGUCCAGAAGCUCUUAGAGAUUUGAGUGUGCCCGAAAGGGAGCUGGACACAGUGCUGCAUGGCUGUCGUCAGCUCGUGUCGUGGAGAUGGUUGGGGCUAGUCCCGCACGAGCGCACCUGUCGUAUGCAUCAUCAGUGGCACUUAACGA